UACGUAGGGGGCAAGCGUUGUCCGGAAUUAUUGGGCGUAAAGCGCGCGCAGGCGGCCUUGUAAGUCUGUUGUUUAAACUCGGGGCUCAACCCCGAGUCGCAAUGGAAACUGCAAAGCUUGAGUACAGAAGAGGAAAGUGGAAUUCCACGUGUAGCGGUGAAAUGCGUAGAGAUGUGGAGGAAUACCAGUGGCGAAGGCGACUUUCUGGGCUGUAACUGACGCUGAGGCGCGAAAGCGUGGGGAGCAAACAGG
rnacentral:rRNA from 1 species